UACGUAGGCAGCAAGCGUUGUUCGGAGUUACUGGGCGUAAAGAGUCUGUAGGCGGUGCUCUAAGUUUGGUGUGAAAUCUCCCGGCUUAACCGGGAGGGUGCGCCGAAGACUGGGGUGCUGGGAGUACGGGAGAGGAACGCGGAAUUCCUGGUGUAGCGGUGAAAUGCGUAGAUAUCAGGAGGAACACCGGUGGUGUAGACGGCGUUCUGGACCGUGACUGACGCUGAGAGACGAAAGCGUGGGGAGCAAACAGG
rnacentral:rRNA from 2 species